UCUUGUAAAUAUAUUCAUAAGUUGGUUUUUAGCUUGUGUACAUGUGCCUAGUGCUAUUAAAUAGGUAGUUAUACUUAUGCAUCUAGAUUAGUAGUGCAUGUAAUAAGUAGAUACAUAAUUAUAAAGUAGUCCUGAAUACAGCAAUUUUUUUUUAUUCGUUUUUUUCUUGUUCAAAUCAAACAUAAACAAUGAAUUCUGACAAGAAUAGAGAUUUCAUCAGGGAACUGAGUGAAAUAUCAUAUGAACUUGCACAAGCGAACAGAUGUCAAGAUAUGAGAUGCCCACACCUAUUUUGUGUACGAAGAAAAGGACAAAUAUUUCAUUGGAGAAACUGCCAAAGGGGAGUGGUGGGAUCCUGCAAAGAUUGCCAGAGCAUGAGAGCUUUUCUCACGGUGCAUGCCAGAUAUUGUGAUAAACCUAUAGACUCAUGCCAGGUUCCAGAUUGCGCGAUCAGUAAACGGAGUCUUAAACCAAUUGCAGCAUAAAUCACAUCUUCAUCUUAUUAGGUGUAGCUUUUCAUAUCACCUACUUUGGAAAUCAAGGAAACAAAUCAAAUACUUUUGUGAAGGCUGACAGUGAACUCAUAUUUUUAAUUAAACCAACUACCUAUUUUUAAUUCAAUUUAUAUUUUUCUCAAAAUACCUAAUUAUGUAUGUACAUUUAUAAUACAGUAUAUUU